CGGGAAAUAGGCUUGUCGCGGCAGGAAGGGACUACUGGAAAAGCUUCCCCCAGCGCCGUGAAGAUAGGUUCCUAAGCCCGGAGGACACAAGCCAGAUGGGAAGGUGGUGCUACGGGCCUGGCCUCGCUCCUUCAGGACACAGAGGCUGCGACCCAGGAGCCCCUGGCAGAGUUGAGAAAACCAGCAUUGGGGCAGGGGCCUUGAAGAUCAUCUGGUUCCCGUCUCCAAGCCUAUAGGUGGGGAAGCUGAGGUCUGGAGAGGAGCAGGGACUUGCCCAAAGCACACAGAGAGCCACUCCUGGAAGCUCUUCUGGGCUUGGAUGCUGCCUGAGACGCACACUGAUGACAGCUUGGGAGAAGGAGGGCCACGGCCUAGUUGAGGAGCGCGCGUCUGAGAGAGUGUGCUGUGGCAUCCACAGCAGCAGCACUGUUCCUGAGGAGAAACUAAGAGCAACACAAACAUCCAGUAAGAGGAGAAUUGAGAAAUCAACCACAGCUCCCACAGCAGCAGGGAGCACAGGCUCCGGACACGCAGGCUCAGCGGCCAUGGCUCACGGGCCCAGCUGCUCCGCAGCAUGUGGGAUCUUCCUGGACCGGGGCACGAACCCAUGUCCCCUGCAUCGGCAGGCGGACUCUCAACCACUGUGCCACUAGGGAAGCCCUGGACUUUGAUCUUUGAUAAAAUAUUAAUAGCUGCUCCUUCAUGAGCUCUUGCUGUGUACCAGGCAUGCACCAGGCCUCUGCCUCAGCAAUUGCAUUUGUCCUCAAAAAAUCCCACGAGGAAAGUAGCAUCACAUCCCCAUUUUACAGAUCAGGCUGCUGACACUGUUGGAGGCUGAGGCUAAGCGGCAUGCUCCAGGGCUCACAGCCUGUGGGAAGGAGAGCCGGGACUUGGACCCAGUUUCCACUCUGAGCUGCUGUGAAUAUGGGUUCUGUGGCUAAGAAGAAAACUAGGUGCCGGAGUUUGAGGGGAGUGUCCCAUUUAUCAUAAUUUGUUUUCUCCAGAGCCGAGUGUGUGGGUGCACCUGCCUCUCUGCCCCAGAAGAGCGUGGCCUCAGCCCCAGGUCGCCCAGGGCCUCUAUGCCCCACCACGUGGUGUCUGUGCACGAGGGCCCAUCUGCCCAUCUGUUUCCCUUCCCUCUGCUGUGGGCUCUGCUUCCCCGUGGUCCAAACAACAAGAUCCAGCCCAGAAACAGCAUAUGUUUCCAGCCUCUGCUAGUCCAAGUCAUAAAUCGCCUGGUGUGAUGUGCUCCUUGUGUCAGCUUGUUUCAAAACUCAGGGUGGAGGUGGCUGAAUGAGUGUGAGGAGAAUGCAGGGCCUCCUCCAGGCUGAGAAGCUGAGAGCUGGGAGCCGGGGUGAGUCCAGGACUGAGGCUCAGGAAGGGAGACAGGGACUAGGCCUAGAGCUGGCUUGGGGGCUCAGCCUGGGGCGGGAACCAGCAGGUAGUGGCCUGGAUUCAAGCUGGGCCUAAGGGCUGAGACUUAAAUGGGAGCUGAGGUCAGAGAUCAAAGGGUUGGGCUUCUUGUCCAAUGGUCAGAGGUCCAGACUUGACUUGGAGUCAGGGGUCAGAGGACAGGGGCUAUUGCUCAGAGCUUGAUGGGGAUGGAGAGCUAAGCUCAGUUUGGGGUGAAGGUCAGGCCUCAGGCUGAGGUAGGGUUAGAGGUUAGAGGUCAGAAUCAGUCCAGUGCUGAAGGCCAUAGCUAACUGAGAAGGAGGUCCCCAAAGACUCAGAAGUCUGCCUGCUCUAUCCUGGAAGUGACGUGUGCCAGGACCGGUGACAGAGGGAUGCCUGUGAUAAAUAAGACGGGGCUUCCAGGGAUGGACCAUGAGUUUGAAAAGGACUGGACACAGAUCUUACGUCCAAAGCCACUAGAGCAAGGCUGGGGGCCUGGCCUGCAGUCCCAGCUCCCUGCCCUCAGGGUGGGAGCCUUGGUUGCUUAUCUCUGAAGCGUGGAUGGUCACAGCACCUGCCUCCAUGUUGAUCACGCUCCAUCCAUGUUGCUGAUUUCUACCCUCGAGACUGUGUGCCCUGGAGUGGGGGUAGAUGAGUGAACACAGUGAGGGUGAGUGGUCGAGGCAGGUAUGUGAGAUGCUUCUGUGGCAUGGGGGGCGGGGGGUCUCAGGAGAGGAACUGUGCCAAGGCCUUAGGUCCCCAGUCACCACCCAGGGCUCUGUCACUCCCAGGCUGCCCCAGAGAGGUGACCCUGCAGCCAGUUCAGGCCUCAGCUGCCCCCUGAGCCGUGUGUAAGCAGCACCGUCCCGGGCGUUUUUUCCAGGCCUCCAUUCUGCCAGCUAGGUUUUCCCACCUCUUCUCCGUUCUGGGCCCAGCAUGGCCAGAGAUCUGGGGACAAGCCCACACAGACGCCAGUUGGGGAGCUAGGAUGGAGGAGGCAAAAGCAGGAAUGAGAGGCCAGCAGGCAGAGAAGGGUGCCAAGGAGGAAGCCUUAUCACAGGCCUCUCUGUUCGCAUCUCCCACAAGGCCUGGUCACGAACCAGCCUCAGCUGUUGACCUGCCGCUGGGGUCCUGACCCCAGAGGCCUCCCCCUCCCCACAGGAGAGCACAGGGAGAUUCAACAAGGGGGGAACCAGGCAUGUGUGAGGGUGUGGGGGCUGGAGGGAGAUGAGAGAACCCCUGGGGGACAGGAAUGGUGGAGAGCCAGCAGAGGACAUGUGGACAACAAGAGGGCUGCCCUGCCUGCCCAGGAUGCAAGGCCUCCAGGGUUUGGCUAUGAAAGUCCCAGUCACCUCCUCCAGCUGAGCUAUUAAUACCCAGCUAAGACCCACGCACCCUUGCUGGGAGGACGCCGAGUUCCUUGGGGGCUAAAAACGGUCUGCAGUGGGGGUGGGCCCGGUGUCCUCCCUCUCUGCUUGUCAGAGGAGCUGGGGCCAAAGUCCAUGCUGGCCUGGAAGGGGGCCAGAGCCAGGGUCGGGGUACAGCAGAGGGUGACUGAACCCUGGGGUGGCCUGAGGAUUCCAGGCGGAAGCAGGAAGGCACUCAGCCAGUCCAGUCCCCGUUGCUCAGAGACCUGAGGGUGGCCCGGGGGCCUGCCAGUGGUCCCACCCAGGAGACCCGCCUGGCUUUCUGGCUCCUUGCCCCACCUAGGCCUUCGCCUUCCCCCCAGGCCUCAGCUUGGUCUGCCCCAGGCUGCAGUGGGGCUAGCUGCUGAGGGCUGCCUGCCUGUCUUCUGCCCAGAGGGGCCUAGAAGGGAAAGGGAGCUCCAGGGAGGGGACAGGUUCGGAGCCUCUAGUGGGAUCCGGGCCACCUAAAGCAGAGCCAUUCACGUUCAUUCACUGAGCUUCAUGUGUGAAAUUUCGAUUAUUCAUAGCAUUCUCUCAGGAGGGAGUUACUGGCAGCACCAUUUUAUAGGUGAAGAAACUGAGGCUCGGUCAUCUCAGAGCCUGAGCUGGCUAGACCUGGUUUGUCAGACUCCAGACCCUACCUUGUGUUGCCUCCCGUUAUGUCAUUGCAAAAGGAGAUUUCUUGGUUUGUCCUGGGGAUCCAUGAAACAGGUAUUUCCAUCAAAAGGCCCUGAUCACUGUAGUGUCCCAGGCCCACCAGAGUGGCCACACCAAGAAUGAGAGGCCUGCAUGGGCACCUUUCUCCUGCAUUGGUGAACCCCCCUCACAGGGAUCGUCAGCCACUUCUUCCCUCAUUCCUGGGGCUCAAGGACACAUCCUGGGAGCCUGUGCUAGUCUUCUGGGCUCGAGGUCACCCAAGGCCACCUGCUCCGUGCUGUGUCCCCUCCCUUCCCAUGAUAGAUGCUCCAGGAUCCAGACACCGACCCCAGAAGAGCACAGGCUUGGCCAGGAGAGUCCAGACGAGAAAGUGGUUGAGAGGUGUCAGCCCCGGAGGCCCCCUGAGCCGGAAAUCCCGACAGCUGCCUGGCUUAUGGGUCCUGGGCACUGGGCCCUGACCCAGGGCAGGCAGCAGCCGUGUCAGGUGUCCAAAGGAGUUGGGGGAGGUUAUGGCUGGAGCCAAGCCUGUCUGCCUGUGGUUAGUGAGGCUGUUGACACCUCCUGCGCUGCCAAGGCAGAGCGACACCAAGGGGCUGGGGGAGGGGUCCUCGCUUAGCCUGGAGGGUCUGAGGGGAGAGACAGGCCCUGACUUGAGGGUCUGGGGAAGGAAGCACAGUCCUGUCCUAAGCUGAGAGAGACCUGGCCCUGCCUGAGAAAUCUGAGGAGGGGGACAGACCCCUAGCUUUGGGGGCUGGUAGAGGGGGUAUAUUUCCAAAUGGCCGGUGGGGAGUAAGGUGUGGGGGGUUGUCCCAGCCUGACACCAGGACAGCAGGGAAGGCUGCCCGUACCCUGGGUUCAGGGGGAAGCUCUGAAUCUGCCGGCCUCCAUUCCUGGCUGGGAGGCACGUGCCUCUGCAGGACAAGCAGGAGGCCUCUGGCCUCAGGCUGACCGUACAAACAGCCCCAGGGUUUCACUUCCCCGGGAGAAAAGGAGAGGCCUAACCUUGCCUGAAUUUUCCUUAACCCCCCGGAGAGGGUCUUUGCCUCUGCGCUGGUGGUGAUGGGGGACAGACUAGCGUCAGAGAGCCCGUUCCAGGGAAGCCCUCCCAGGAUGGGCCCCCCUGCUCAUUUGAUCCAUGCACCUCAGCUCUCCUGAUGCCCAUGUGCCCCCCCGCCGGAGCCACCUCCCCAAGCAGUCUUCCUGGAUUGAUAGAGGUGAGGAGGCACUAUACUUCCAACUCCCACGCCAGGCUGGAGUGUCCAUGGCUACCCCAUCUUCUUGGGGCCCCUGCCAGCCAAGCCUGACCUCAUGAGGCUUUCCUUUCCUUUCACUUUCCUUUCAACACACCCUCCCUCCUGGCUCCCUCCUAGACCUCCAGGUCUCUGGUUCUCUGGCUGAACCAGCCCCUUGGCCACACCAGGUCUGGGGUCCUCUCCCAUCUCAGCUGUCCCUGCUGCUCAGUCUGGGGCUCAGUCCCCUGCCCUGUGUCUGUCUCUUCUCUCUGGGUUUAUCUUCGUUCUCUGGGCUCUGACUCAGACCUGACUCUGUCUCUCUGUUUUAGUCUCCAUCUCUGCCUCUCUCUAUAUAUCUGUCUGGCUCCCUGACCCAGUCUCAAAUGCCUCAGUCUUUCUGUCACUGUUGCUCUAGGACCCGGUCCUGGCAGUGUCUCCUCUCCCCACCUGGCCGGGGCACCUGCUCAGACAUCUGCUCUGCUGUCUGCUCGCUGGGCCUCACGAAGAGCUCAGACAACACUUGUGGUCUCAACUCUGGCCCAGUUCCAGGGGAACUGCUGUGAUUCCCAGAAGGUGGGUGAGGGAGAGACAGGCCAGAGGGCCAUGUGCUUGCCUGUCUCUUGAGGGGCUAAUGGCCCUGGGCUUUCCUCUGCUCAGGCCAUGGCUACCAGUGCCACAGGCUUCACAUUUUACCCCACCACUGACGGCUGUGGGACUCCGGGCAGGUUCUGAGCUCGUGUCCCCUUCUCCAUAGUGGGGCCAAUAGGGCCGACUUCAGCAGGUGUCAGAGGAUGGAAUGUCAGCGCACUUGGCGGGCACUUGGCACUGGGCCCAGCAUGUAGUCGUGCUCCAUAGAGUCCCCAUGACUGUUACUGUGACUGUAAUUCCCCAAGGUCCCCGGAGUCAUGAUAGGCAGAGUGGGGGAUGGGCUGAGCUUCUGCUGUGUGAGGUGUCCCAUGUCCACCUGCGUCCCAUACCCGUCUCUUCCUCUGUUGGACAAAAGACCUCUCGCUAUACCUGGGACCUUCCUGUCCUCAGAUUCUGUCUGAAUUGCACACUGGUGCUCACCAAAUUAAUUACUGCUGGCUUGGGGAUAUAUUUUUUUAAGAAGACAUUUUUCCAGGGGGAAAAACACGCAGGAGCUAUAAUUAGUUGGGAAGAGGAAAGAGGUGCGGAGUGUGUGAAUCAUCAGCCCCAGUGAUAGACGGUUAGAGGCUGAGCAGAAGUUUCGGGAGAAGCUGCUGGAGUGUGGGUGAGUUGGGGAUGGGGUGCUGCCCCCAGGCAGGCCGGGGUCGUCAAACACCAGGCAUGUUCAGGGAUGGGGACUUUAUCUGUCACCCUGAAGUCUAUGCCCUCCCCCACAAGGCUCUGUCACCCAUCACCCUCUCAAGGUCCCAGCUUCUCAUCUCCCCUGCACGUGCUGCCUGCCCUGACUGUCCCUAGGGCUUUUGUCCACCUUAUCCCAAGGCCAGUGCCAGUCCCUGCUGGCAUGUACCUGGGCAGAGAGCCUUGCAACUUGAAUGAGGAGAGAAACUGUGGAGGGUUUGAGGUGCAGGGAUUGUAGACCAUCUAGACCAGCUUCUCAUUCAUUCACUCACGUGUUCAUCGAAUACUGAAAUGCUGCUGUGUGCCUGGUCCACAGACAGGCAAGCCAAGGACCAAGGCCACACAGCUGUGAGUGGAGCAGCCUCUCUGCCUGUCCUGUCAUACCAAGUCCGCUGAGCCAGACCCUGGGCAGGGCUCUGGGCCACCAAGGGGACAAUGACCAGGCCCCACCUUAACUGAGCCCAUAUUCUGAUGGGGGAGGCAAUCAGGCAUCUAUAGGGCAGAACGCCCAGUGCUGUGAAGUGGGAAGCACAGCGCUGUGGGAGCUCGGAAGUGGAUCUUGAUCCAGCCUGGUGGUCAGACAGGGCCUCACAGGGGAUGAGGUGAACAGUGUUCUGAGGCUGGAAACAGCAUGAUGACCCAUCAUGCUGGAGGGAUGUUAACUGAUUCUGUGGCAGGGCUCAGGCAGCAGCAGGAGUGGGGGAUUGCUGGGGACUGUGGCUUCUGGGCCAAGUGAUCACAGUGUCCAUUUCCCCAAUGUUUCUUCUGAGCAGCUGUCUGGGGCGCUCUGAGGCCCUCGUCCUUGGGGACUCUCCGUUGGUUCUUUUUGAUGUCUGGGGCCCACUGACCCAAGGUAACCCCUGUCUGGGCAGUCAGUGGCUAAGGGAACUGGACCCCAGGUUUCUCCCUCUCUCCCUCUCCUCUGGCUGAGGGCUGGCUACCCAAUGGUCUAGGGGUCUCUGCCCAGGCCUCAGGGGCUAUGCGGGAGCAGCGUGGCCUGUGCCUGAGAGCUGAGGAGAGGACACUUCCUCCCCUGGGAGAGCAUGGCAUCAUUCAGCACACAGAGUGCUCCCUUCUAACCCCAGACCAAAUUAGCCUUCCAAAUUACAGGCUGCAUGUCCUCCAAAUUGGGGAUUGGGUGGGAGAACAGAGGCCCAGCUCUCCUUCCUGCUUCCUGCUCACAGAGGGCUCUCGGCCCAUCCCUAAAUAACAGGACCAUGUUAGGAAAGAAUUCUGGGCACACACACCCUCCCGCCCCAGGGUGCAGGGAUCCCCAGGUCCCAGACCUGCAUUCAGGCUCAGGGCAAGGCUUUGCCCUCCUGGGGUUUGACAGUGAGCUUGGAACCGGAACAUUCAGUCAAGGCCAGCUUAGGGUUCUGAGGGCAUUUUGAGGAUCAUUCAUUUAUUCAUCAAACACCUACUGGGCACAUUCUCUGUGCCAGGCAUUGUGCUGGGCCUUGAGACACUGAGUGGCAAUGGAGGUGACAGACAUGUGACCAGGAAGGUACAUGUCAGAAUGAGCAGGCCUGUGGCAGGGGGUGUACAAGUGGCCCUGGGAACCCUUGAUGAGGUCAGGGAGACCUUCCUGGAGGAAGGGGUAUAUAAGAUGAGUCCCAAAGGAUGCAUGUGUCCUUAACCAGGAGAAGAGAGUUCAUGGAGGAAAGAAUAUCCAGUGCAAAGGCCAGGAGCAGAGAGUGAGGGAGGGGUAUUAAGAAGUGGGUGGAGGCACUGGUUGGUUCAGAUCCAGGGGCCUUGUCAGCUAUGCUGGGGGAUUGGAUUUCAUCAGAAGUACAAGGGAAGAGGAGGCCUGUGAUCCCAGGAGUGGAGGAGGAUGGGUGUGUGUGUGUGUGUGUGUGUGUGUGUGUGUGUGUGUGCAGAAGCACAGUUGGACCAUGGCCCCACCCCGAGGGCUCCUGGUAGGUAUGAAGGGAUGUGGGGGCAGAGGAGGGGGUCCUGGACCUCCCACAUUGGUCUCCCUCCCACCCCCACCCCUUCCAGACAGCUUCGGGCCUUUGAAGAAACAAUCCAGUUUACCACAAGGAAAACACGAGAGCCUGAUGGUAUUUCUUUGUGUCCUGAAAUUAAGGUGCCUUCCUGUGUUUUCGCUAAUUGGUUUGGAACUCUUCAUGUUUUUGUUUUAGAAGAAAAUUAUUAUGGAUGUUGAGAAUAAAUGCGAUCAUUGUGUGGUGCUGAGAGCAGAGAAUGAAAGGAAAACACCUCCUGAGCUCACCCACUCUUGUGUCACAGAAGAGGCAAGUGAGGUGGGGAGGAGAGACUUUGAGGCCACACAGCCACAGUGAUGGUCCCCCAGGAGCAGGAAGGGGUGGCUUUUGGGGCACGGUGGAGAGAGGAUGCUUGGUGGGGGGUUCUUACAGCAGGGUGGAGAGAGGACCUGCGAGUUCCUCCAGCUUCUGGUCUUGCUUGCACACCUCCUGGGAUGGAGAAAUCACUGCUUCCUGUCUGCGUCUGGUGAACUGGCCCAGCUGUAGCUGGUGAGCAGUUUUCCCUGAGUAGGCAGUGCUUCUCCCCUCCGGUCUCACCCAAGGUUCUCUGCAUCCCAAUCUCUACCCCACCAGGACCUCUGGUCUUCGCUUCAGCUGCCUGAGGUGAGGCUGGGGCCAGGGUGGUCUCUGUAGGUGGGACCCUGGGCUGCAGGCUGCACGGCACUGGAUCUGAUCUGGCCCCGGUAGAUGGUGCCUGCACUUCUGAGCCUGAUGGCUGGGAGGGCUUCUGGGCUGGAGCUUCCCCGGCUGGCAGCCAGCGUGGGAGCGUGAGGAAAGGCACGAAGUCUGCUUCCUGGAUGCACGGCCUGUUGUCCAGCACAUCCUGCAGGGCCCGGCCCUGCUCGGCUGAGGACACAAGCUAGUGGGUAGAGUCAGGCCUGACAGACAGUUCCAUGGGCAGCACUGGGCAGACAGGUGGGGCACCAGGUCAGUGCACACCCUCACUCAGCAGGCUUCUGUUUAGCCCCUGCUAUAUGUCUGGCCCUGUGACAGCCGCUGGGCUCUCAGAAAUGAAUUAGACACAGACCCGCCCCUGCCCCCAAGAGCCUGUGGUCUGGACAGGCACAGAGGAGACAACAGAGCGCAAUAAAAAACCUGUAUCCCCGGCCAUACCAGCAAAAUCAGCUCCAGACUUUGGGGAGUGAAAUCCUACAUAACCCACUUCUACCCAGAAGCUAGAAAGGGACCUCUAGAAUUCACCUCUGGCCUCCUGUUCCUUCUGCUUGACCUGCCAUCCUCCCUUUUGCUGGCCCCCAGAGCGCCUGUGUACUCUGGUCCAGCCUCUCCCUGGAGCUCAACUCCCUCCUCCACUCAGCUGCAGUGAACACUCAGAGUUUAAUGGUCUCUCUGGCCAUCUGGCCUUUGUCCAGGUUGUUCUCUCUGCCUGGAAAAUGUCCCCUUCCUUUACACUUGCUAAUGCCUACUCACUCUUCAGAGUCAGGGUCCAGCCCUCUCCAUGGGUAGCUUUCCCGGCUUCUAGAUCAUGACAGCCCCCUGGUACCUGUCCCUGUAGAGCCCCCUACACUGCUCCUCAGAGCAUUCAUGGAACUUGUGAUCAGGUCUUUUAACUGUGUGUUUAUUCCACUGGGGACGCAGGACCCAGAGCAGGCCAGGUUUCUCUUGGCCACUGCUGGCCUGUCGUCUCACCCCAGAGGAGCCCAGAGGAUGUGCUUAGUCAAUAUAUGUUGAAUGAUGAGUAACAUGUAAAACCCACAUGUUUUUCUAUUAAUAGAAAGUUAAGUUCAGGCACAAACAUCACAAAAAUCUAGUAAGAUUUAAAUGCAUGUUCAUACCCACACGCUGAGAAUGUUGCAAAGAGGUUACACUGCCCCUUAAAAUGUAAUUACCCCCGCGCCUGACCCCAAAGUCACUGGCAGUGGCUGGUUCAGGGCAGCCCUGAAGUUAACAGCAAUAGCAGUGACACUGGCCGUGUGUUGGGAGCCACCUCAGCACUAAAUAAGCGCAGAUUUUUUUUUCAAUGAAACAUUAUAUUUGGAUGCAAAAACCUAGAGUAUCAAAGAUUCAUGUGGAGCCAAGAUUCAUUCAUCAACAGACAUUUCUUCAGAGCCAAGGGUUGGCUGAGCACUGAGGAUCUGGUUGUGGACAGACGGCCUGCCUUUGCCGUAUCGGCAUCAGGCUGAAGCCAGGAGGAAAAGCGGAAUCAAUGGACCUGACCUUUGGCCCUGGACCAAAGGGAAGGAAAGACAUUUCCUCCUGCGGGAUGUACAAUCUCUGAGCACAUCUCUGUCAGCAAAGAGGCACAGCCUGACCCUGUCCUGCGGGGCCCUGGAGAUUCCAUUUUUUCUGGUGGGGGCCUGGGCCGGUCACACCCCCUCCCUGGGACAGUGUUGAAGCAGCUGUUAGAACUGGGAUGCGCCAAAGAACCCUGCAGAGACAGGCUCACCACCUUCCCUGCUCAUGCUACCUCUUCCACGGGAUGCCACUCCACAGCCUGUGCAUGGGAUCCAGCCCGCAGCCAGUGUCUGCCAGCGGUCACAUUAGGGUCACGUACAGGUCAAAGCAGCCCCUCUCUGCUGCCAGGUCAUGGUUGGGGUGUCCCGCUGUGUAUGUGCAUGUCAGGUAUGGGGCAUGCAGGGGCUGGGGGUCUCUGGGAGAAAACGGUGAGCACCUUGUGAGAAGAGGGCCUUGCCUUCCCCUCAAAAUCCCCAAGACCCGGCCUUUCUCCUGCUUCAGACCAGAGUCCCCAAGGGCCUUAACCAGACAGACAACCGGCAGUGAGACAGCCAGCCUCCCUGGGACCAGAGCCCCCAUUCCACCUGGCAAGACUCUUGGGUCAGCGGCCUGGGAUCUUCGGCCACCAUGGUGCUGACGUGCUGAGGCCCAAGUCCUCACCCGGCUGUGCCCUGCCCAAUAUAGAGGGCUCUGAAGGACACAGACAGCUCUUCCUGUGUCAGGGCAGUGGGGCCAUUUAUCACGGAGAUAAGCAUUAGCCAGAGGGCAGAGUUGGCGGAAGGAGCUGUCUGGAGGAGAUAAUCUAGGGUCACUCAGAGGGCAUGGAAGAGCCAUGUCCCCACUCCACCCCCUGCCACCCAGACCCCGCCCCUAUGCUUGCUGGCCAAGACAUCUGGCUGUCUCACCUCAUGGAAAAACCUGAUGCCCUCCGGGGACAAGGAGCUGGGCUAUGGUUGGGAGUGGGGUGUGUUUCCUCUUCAUGUCCUGUGCCAUGGCAGGGCCCCUGUGUUUCUGCCUCGCCUCUUCACAGAUGGGGAAACAGGUCUGAGGGAGUGGGCUUUGGACUGCUCUUGUCAGAGGGAGCGAACAUGGGGUCCUGACCCUGCCCUCGGCCUCCUGCACAGGGUAGGAGGGGAAAUCCACGUGGUGCUGUGUCACUGGGCACGUCCUAUGUCCCAGGUGUUGCCUGCAUGGCCUGUGUCCUGUCCCCUCUACCCUGGGGAGCAGCCAUUGCUUUGUCCUCCUUUUCCAGAGGGAGGCAAUGCCCAGAGAGGUGAGGGUACCAGCCCAUGGCCGAACCGCUGGGAAGUGGCCCAAGUAGGAUUUGAACGUGGGGUUCAGAGCUGCAUCCAGAGCACUGUCUGCCCAGAGGGGCUUUGGGUGUCUGGCAGAGGCCAGAACAAACCCACUAGAUGGAGGACAGCUCUGGGAUCCCUCUGCCCAGCUAAAAGCUGAUACCCCAGACUGUCAGAACCCCCCAGGCUGCUCUGCUCACCCCACUUCCCUACCUUGGCACUCAGUGGGGCUCAAUAAAUAUUUCUUAACAAAUUAAUAAGUCAAAAAUGAGCAAACACAGUAUAAGUCAUGACAUUUCCCCUCUACGAGUCCCUGGAGCUGGUCAGUCCCUCUCUGGGGGCUGUACACACUGGUUUUGGUAUCUCCCUGCCAGGGACACAUCUGCCCACCACCUACUGGCUCCUCACGGUGGUCCCAUCAGAAAAGACGGUGCCACCUUUGGGAGCAGAGAGAAGAACCCAGACCUUGGACUGUAGAGGAUGGGAGUAGGGGGAGGAAGGAGCGAGGAGACCCCUCUCCUGGGCUGGGAGCCGCACUUGUCAUUACCCCAUGGUGGACACUUUUGCAGCCCUGCAGCCCUCACCAUCGGGGUCACUAAGUGUUGGUGUGUUCAGGGUGCUGCAGGGACCAGGGCUGGUCUGGGGGAUGAACGCUGGAUCUCCUUUCUCUGCCCCAAUGUCCAGGGCAGUAGAUUUGACCCAGAACCAGCCAGAGGCUUUUCUGGAAAGUCUUUGCUAUGUGAAGGGAAGGAGGGGGCACCCUGGGAGUCUUGGAAUUCAUCUGGCAGGCCUGGGGGCCUGGGUGGCUUUUGAGAGCCUUUCUGCCCAUGACCACCUUCGUGGGUUCUGGGUACUAUUUAGCCUGCGACAUGCUGGGCAGGGAGAGGGGUCUGAAUUGUGCAGGGAAGGGUCCCAGGGCCUGGGGAAGGAGCCAGUGAGCAUGAACAGUUGUGCAGAAAGGAGCCCAGCCCCCGGGGCCUGUGUUGGGGGGUGGGGAGCAGGAGGACAGACAGGCACAGCUGUGUCAGACCCACCACUACAACCCCCUGGGAGCCCCCCCACAGCUGAAGGGACCCUUCCUUGGAUUUGGUUGGGGGCAAUGGAACCUCAGGUGUGGAAGGGUUUUUUUUUUUUUUUUUCGGUAUGCGGGCCUCUCACUGCUGUGGCCUCUUCCGUUGCGGAGCACAGGCUCUGGACGCACAGGCUCAGCGGCCAUGGCUCAUGGGCCCAGCCACUCUGCGGCAUGUGGGAUCCUCCUGGACCGGGGCACAAACCUGUGUCCCCUGCAUUGGCAGGCGGACUCCCAACCACUGCGCCACCAGGGAAGCCCUGGAAGGGUUUUUAAUCCUCGGACACUGGGUCACCUCAUGUCAACCCAGGGGAAGUUACAGACAGACCUCCAAUCCUCAGGAGAUAAGCUGAACUGACUUGUGAACGGGCUGCCUCUGAACCAGUGCAGAGCAGCCCUGGGCAGCCUCCCCCAGAAAAGUCCCCACUCUGGUGGUUGGGAGGGGCAUUGCCAGCAGCAGGACCCCACACUGAGCUGGUCCAGCCCCUCGGGGGACAGAACAGGCACACAACAAUAAUAGCAACCAUAAAAGAAACCCAAGGAGCACAGCUCUUGCUGUGCCCCAGACAAGGCUGAGCUUGGCUUCCUGGCCACUCUCCCAUUGCAUUUAAUUCUCAUGACCCUAUGAGGUGUACACAAGUAUUAUUCCCCGUUUGACAGACUAGGAGCCAAGGCCCAGAGUCAUGGAGCGUCAAUAAUCCUAAUGGCACACGUGCACAAUGCUCACAAAGGGACCUCAACACACUCCCAGGGUAUGUCCUGCUGCUCAUAAGCAUCCUUCUAGCAAGGGCGUUGGUGACAGCAGAAUCCUUAAUGGGGGUGUCACUGGGUGAAAUGCCCACUGAUCAAGUCCGUGUACAGGACCCCAGUGAGGUGGACAUGGAAGCUGGUGUGGAAGGUGGACCAAGCCUAUGGUUGAGGGAAGGUCAUUGCUGCUGGUACAUAUCGAUCCCGUUUGUGUAACACACGUGUUACAGAUAUAAAACCUGGGGCGGCGCUGGGGCAGAUGGGGCACCCUAGUACACACAUGCUGGAGGACACCCACACAGAGCCCAAGGACCACACCUCCCGUACCUCAGCAUCCAGCACCCGCACAGAGCUGAUCACGGGGGACCUGCCAGGGCACUCUCGUUCUCCCUUUUUCUCUCUCCACCUGUGCCUCUCUGCCCACCUGGCUGGGGAUAAAGCACUGGAGGUGGGCUGGGCCCAGAUCCCGGGUGCAGAGUCCUGGCUGGGCCUCCAAGCCUGGUCCAGACAAUGGAGGCUUGGAGUCUUGGCUUUGCACCUCCUCAGCAUCCCUACUCCUCCCUCUCUUCCUCUCUGCUUCUCUCUUACUUGCUCCUGUCUCCCUCUCAGUGUUCUGAAGAGUCCUCCUCAGUGGCAGCAGAUACACGGGUGACACGUCCUGCUGCCUCAGUCACACACAGUGCCUCUCCUCCUGCCCCAGAGACUCACGCUGUUUCUGGGCAUCAGGCUGGGGUCAGGCUGACCUGUGGUGGCUACAGCCUCACUCGAACUGUGCUCCCAGCCUGGCUCGGGCUGCACUUGAGCUGGACGGAAUAAAGAAGCUGCUGGCCUCCAUGUCCCUGCCCACCCCUCCCCUGCAGAAUCCCUGGGCCCAGUAGAGUCAUGGGAGGAUGGAGGCUUCUGGGACCAGUGGCAGCACCCAGGGCGGGUGUGGUGCCAGAGGACAGAGAGGGUGUGAGGAUGGAGGGCUGAAAUGGAGGAUGGGGUAAAGUGGGGGCAGGGCUGCACCCUUACAGGCAGGCCUCCCAGGGGUAGGUCUGUUCUUCCUCAUUGCUGCCUCUAGCCCAGUGCCUGCCUGGCUGUUCCCUGUGGCCCUAGGACACUGAGGGGCAGGAAGCUAGGCAGCUUCUGGUGCAGACUUUCCGUGGUCUUGGGCCAGUCAGGGUACCAAGCCAGGCUCAGUUUCCCCAUCUGUUAUAUGGGGCAAGAUGAAGGGAAGGUACAGGCCUAAGCAUGCCCACCAGGCACCAAGAAGACAACUACCAACAACUGUAGGGUAUCCACACAGGCCCUUCUUGUCUAUGCCUCCCGCCCCCAUAGUCACCCUUUCGCUUAAGUACCAUUGCUCUCCCUGGCUUCCAUGUGGACACCCGCCCAAGGCCACACAGACGGAGAAUGCUGGUGUCAGGAUUUGAACUGGUUGCCUCUCUUAGGCAACCUGCUGUCUGAGCGGAGCAAGAGGAUGCCAGACACUGACCCAGGAUCGGGGCUGCCUGAUCCCUGCACUGGCCAGAGGAGGUACCACAAAUCCCACCUGCACGUCCACCCAGCCCACCCUGCUCAGAGCUGUUCUGUGCAUCUUAGCUUGACGAGGUGUGGGGAAUUCAUCAACCGCUGACAGAGCCCGCUGAGAGCUGGCUAUGAGUCCAGCCACCUCCCUGUCCCAGCAGCAGCCCCCAAAGCCUGAGGCUUAAUCCCCCAGGCAUGUCCUGCCCUUCAUCUUUCCCAGGCUGUGUUGCCCUUCUGCCCCUCUUCUCUAGUUGAAGCUGGUCACCUCACCCAAGUCUUCCUCCUGGAAGCUCUCCCCGACUCCCCAUCCUUCAGUACGUCUAGAUUCCGUUCCCAUGCCCAGAAUUCCACCUCCUAACGUACAGGAGCCUCUCAGGUGCCAGGUGCCUGGUGCCAGGCCUGGUGAGGCUCCAGAUGCUGACCAGCCAAGGGACCGAGGAGGACGCCCCUCAGUGAGCGGAGCAGAAGGGCGGGAGUCAGGAGACCACUGUGGGCCUUCUCUGAGCCUUAAUGCAGGACACUUGCCCAGCAGGAUUUGCGGAAGAGAAGGCCUAGGAGGACCGACAACUUCUCUCCAACCUGCACAUCAGAGCUGGCCGGGCUCCCAGGGAAGUCUCAGAGCAUGAAUGGACUCCUUGCCCCACCCCGCAGCAAGCAGAGAAGCAGCCAACACCGGGGACCUCCUCCUGGGCGGCCUCCAUGCUUAACCCUGCAGUUUCCACCUACAGAACAAGCACCAACUCCAGCCUGGAGACCCCAAGCCAAGGGCCAACCUUGCCCUCUGUUUGCCCUGCACUGCCCAUCUAAAUCUCUGAGGUACUGGUCUGACAUUCCCCAUUUUCCCAAUGAGGAAUCUGGGGCUUUGCAGGGUUAGUAACAUGCCCAAGGUCACACAGCUGUAGGUGGCAGAGCUGGGGCUCAACCCCGGGCUGUCCUGCACCUGCAGGCAUAACUCCACUAUGAUGACCUGCUCAGCCCACACACGGAGGGCAUCUGCGGCCCUCAGCCAGAGGCAGCCUGUUUUGCACAGGGUUUUCUUUUUCUUUUUAAAUUUUUUUAUUAAAAAAAAUUUUUUAUUGAAGUAUAGUUGAUUUACAAUGUUGUGUUAGUUUCAGAUGUACAGCAAAGUGAUUCAGUUAUACAUAUAUGUGUUCUUUUUUUAAUUUAUUUUUUAUUUUUGGCUGUGUUGGGUCUUCGUUGCUGCGCGCAGGCUUUCUCUAGUUGCGGCAAGCAGGCUUCUCAUUGUGGUGGCUUCUCUUGUUGCGGAACACGGGCUCUAGGCUCAUGGGCUUCAAUAGUUGUAGCACGCAGGCUCAAUAGUUGUGGCUCGCGGGCUCUAGAGCACAGGCUCAGUAGUUGUGGCGCACGGGCUUAGCUGCUCCGCGGCAUGUGGGAUCUUCCUGGACCAGGGCUUGAACCCAUGUGUCCUGCAUUGGCAGGCAGAUUCUUAACCACUGAGCCACCAGGGAAGCUUUACAUAUAUAUAUUCUUUGUCAUAUUCUUUUCCAUCAUGGUUAAUUACAGGAUAUUGAAUAUAGUUCCCUGUGCUAUACAGUAAGACCUUAUUGUUUACCUAUUUUAUAUGUAGUAGUUUGUAUCUGCUAAUCCCGAACUCCUAAUUUAUCCCUCUCCCACCCCCUUUCCCUUUUGGUAACCAUAAAUUUGUUUUCUUCGUCUGUGAAUCUGUUUCUCUUCUGUAAAUAAAUUCAUUUGUGCCAUAUUUUAGAUUGUGCAUAUGUGUGAUAUAUGAUAUUUGUCUUUCUCUGACUUAUUCACUUAGUAUGAUAAUCUCUAGGUCCAUCCAUGUUGCUGCAGAUGGCAUUAUUUCAUUCUUUUUUAUAACUAAGUACUAUUCCAUUGUAUAUAUUGCACGGGGUUUUCUGUGCUGCAACUCAGGAUGUCUGAGCCCACAGGACACCGAGCCCAUCUGCGUGGAUGUGUGUAGCCCUCCAGAGUGGGCUCUGAGGCCAGGCAGGUGGAGGAGGUGGUCUCUGCGGAGGAGGAGGCGCUUCAGCGGCACGUGAUGCGCCGAGAGGUGUGCCCAGACUGGCGUGGAGCAGGGUAGGUGCUGGAUGAGUGGAUUCUGCUCCUCCGCUUUGGAGUUCCAGGAACAUCCAGAGGCUACAGCAGAGGCUGCGGGGCAAAGCCAGUGCCAAGGCUGCAAGGCUGGAAGAGGCCAGAGCAGGUACCCCCGCACCGGCUGCAGCACCAACAGGAGGGGCAGGUGUGUGAGUGCCUCAGGGACCCCCACCUGGCCUACGCCCUGCUCCUGGGCCUCUGAGGGCUCCCUCCCCACUGCCUGCAGGAUCCCAGCUCAGCUUCCCGGCUCAGCGCCUUUUCCUCCUGGUACAAAAGAGAGAAAGAGAACCAUGUACAGCAUGGAAGCUUUUUGUCAAUUUCUUGACUGUGGCAAGAUUUUAAUCUGCUGCCUUAAAGAAUCCCUGAAAACCACCCCUGUGAGGU